rnacentral:rRNA from 1 species
UGGGGAAUUUUGCACAAUGGGCGCAAGCCUGAUGCAGCGACGCCGCGUGAGGGAUGAAGGCCUUCGGGUUGUAAACCUUUUUCGCUCAUGGUCAAGCCGCAGCUUUGGGUUGUGGUGAGGGUAGUGGGUAAAGAAGCGCCGGCUAACUACGUGCCAGCAGCCGCGGUAAUACGUAGGGCGCGAGCGUUGUCCGGAAUUAUUGGGCGUAAAGCGAGCGCAGGCGGUUAGAUAAGUCUGAAGUUAAAGGCAGUGGCUCAACCAUUGUAGGCUUUGGAAACUGUUUAACUUGAGUGCAGAAGGGGAGAGUGGAAUUCCAUGUGUAGCGGUGAAAUGCGUAGAUAUAUGGAGGAACACCGGUGGCGAAAGCGGCUCUCUGGUCUGUAACUGACGCUGAGGCUCGAAAGCGUGGGGAGCGAACAGG